rnacentral:rRNA from 1 species
CAGGGAUUGCUCUAGUAACGGCGAGUGAAGCAGCAAUAGCUCAAAUUUGAAAUCUGGCGUCUUCGACGUCCGAGUUGUAAUUUGUAGAGGAUGCUUCUGAGUAACCACCGACCUAAGUUCCUUGGAACAGGACGUCAUAGAGGGUGAGAAUCCCGUAUGCGGUCGGAAAGGUGCUCUAUACGUAGCUCCUUCGACGAGUCGAGUCGUUUGGGAAUGCAGCUCUAAAUGGGAGGUAAAUUUCUUCUAAAGCUAAAUAUUGGCCAGAGACCGAUAGCGCACAAGUAGAGUGAUCGAAAGAUGAAAAGCACUUUGGAAAGAGAGUUAAAAAGCACGUGAAAUUGUUAAAAGGGAAGGGAUUGCAACCAGACUUGCUCGCGGUGUUCCGCCGGUCUUCUGACCGGUCUACUCGCCGCGUUGCAGGCCAGCAUCGUCUGGUGCCGCUGGAUAAGACUUGAGGAAUGUAGCUCCCUCGGGAGUGUUAUAGCCUCUUGUGAUGCAGCGAGCGCCGGGCGAGGUCCGCGCUUCGGCUAGGAUGCUGGCGUAAUGGUCGUAAUCCGCCC